rnacentral:misc_RNA from 1 species
GAUGAAGAACGUAGCGAAAUGCGAUAAGUAAUGUGAUUUGCAGAAUUCAGUGAAUCAUCGAAUCUUUGAACGCACAUUGCGCCCGCCAGUAUUCUGGCGGGCAUGCCUGUUCGAGCGUCAUUUCAACCCUCAGGUCCCCCUUUUCGGAGGGGGAGACACCCUGGUGUUGGGGGACGGCCUGGCCUUCUGCGCCGCGCCGCCCCCGAAAUGAAUUGGCGGCCUCGUCGCGUGCCACCCCUGCGUAGUAGCACAACCUCGCAACGGGAGCCCGGCGCGGCCACUGCCGUAAAACGCCCAACUUUUAAGAGUUGACCUCGAAUCAGGUAGGAAUACCCGCUGAACUUAAGCAUAUCAAUAAGCGGAGGA